rnacentral:rRNA from 1 species
GACGAACGCUGGCGGCGUGCUUAACACAUGCAAGUCGAACGGAAAGGCCCUGCUUUUGUGGGGUGCUCGAGUGGCGAACGGGUGAGUAACACGUGAGUAACCUGCCCUUGACUUUGGGAUAACUUCAGGAAACUGGGGCUAAUACCGGAUAGGAGCUCCUGCUGCAUGGUGGGGGUUGGAAAGUUUCGGCGGUUGGGGAUGGACUCGCGGCUUAUCAGCUUGUUGGUGGGGUAGUGGCUUACCAAGGCUUUGACGGGUAGCCGGCCUGAGAGGGUGACCGGCCACAUGGGGACUGAGAGACGGCCCAGACUCCUACGGGAGGCAGCAGUGGGGAAUAUUGCACAAUGGGCGGAAGCCUGAUGCAGCAACGCCGCGUGCGGAAUGACGGCCUUCGGGUUGUAAACCGCUUUCGCCUGUGACGAAGAGUGAGUGACGGUAAUGGGUAAAGAAGCACCGGCUAACUACGUG